UACGUAGGGUGCAAGCGUUGUCCGGAAUUAUUGGGCGUAAAGAGCUCGUAGGCGGUCUGUCGCGUCUGCUGUGAAAACUCAGGGCUUAACCCUGAGCUUGCAGUGGGUACGGGCAGACUAGAGUGCGGUAGGGGGAGAUUGGAAUUCCUGGUGUAGCGGUGGAAUGCGCAGAUAUCAGGAGGAACACCGAUGGCGAAGGCAGAUCUCUGGGCCGUAACUGACGCUGAGGAGCGAAAGCGUGGGGAGCGAACAGG
rnacentral:rRNA from 1 species